rnacentral:tRNA from 6 species
GCCCCGGUAGCUCAGUGGUAGAGCGACGGCUUUGUAAGCCGUAGGUCAUGGGUUCAACCCCCAUCCGGGGCUCCA